GAUGAACGCUAGCUACAGGCUUAACACAUGCAAGUCGAGGGGAAACGAUAUUGGAAGCUUGCUUCCGAUAGGCGUCGACCGGCGCACGGGUGAGUAACGCGUAUCCAACCUGCCCAUCACUUGGGAAUAACCUUGCGAAAGUAAGACUAAUGCCCAAUGACAUUUAUAGAAGGCAUCUGAAAUGAAUUAAAGAUUUAUCGGUGAUGGAUGGGGAGUGCGUCUGAUUAGCUUGUUGGCGGGGUAACGGGCCCACCAAGGCGACGAUCAGUAGGGGUUCUGAGAGGAAGGUCCCCCACAUUGGAACUGAGACACGGUCCAAACUCCUACGGGAGGCAGCAGUGAGGAAUAUUGGUCAAUGGGCGAGAGCCUGAACCAGCCAAGUAGCGUGCAGGAUGACGGGCCCUAUGGGUUGUAAACUGCUUUUAUAAGGGAAUAAAGUGAGUCUCGUGAGACUUUUUGCAUGUACCUUAUGAAUAAGGACCGGCUAAUUCCGUGCCAG
rnacentral:rRNA from 1 species